UACGAGGGGGGCGAGCGUUGUUCGGAAUUAUUGGGCGUAAAGAGCUCGUAGGCGGUCUGUCGCGUCUGUUGUGAAAACUCGAGGCUCAACCUCGGGCUUGCAGUGGAUACGGGCAGACUAGAGUGCGGUAGGGGAGACUGGAAUUCCUGGUGUAGCGGUGGAAUGCGCAGAUAUCAGGAGGAACACCGAUGGCGAAGGCAGGUCUCUGGGCCGCAACUGACGCUGAGGAGCGAAAGCAUGGGGAGCGAACAGG
rnacentral:rRNA from 1 species